UUGGCAAAACCGCUGUGAGGCGGCGACGCAAAGCCAUCGGGGCUUAACAGGUUUAAGCAAGCCGGGUUGC
rnacentral:ncRNA from 1 species